CUUUUCUGUUUUUAUUUAUUUAUAAACACUUAGGCAUUUUAUAAAAUUGUGAAUCUUACACCAUAAUUAUCUUUGUAAUAUUUGGCAACCACCGAACAUUUUUGUUUUAAUUUUUGAAAACUUUUAUUGUUUUCUUUUAUUUAAAUUUUGAACUUGUUUCGGUUCUGAACUAUCGAGAGUUUAUCACAGUAACCGUGGUGACGUGGCAUCAUUAGCGGGGAAUCACUGUAGCUUAAUUAUCCGGGCGUCACAAUUCUCCUCCACUACAAGAAAUCUCGUCCCGAGAUUUAGGAUCGGUUAUAAGGGGGAAGGGGUCUGGUUACGAAAUUCUAACGAUUCUUCUCGAUCAUAGUAGCUCUUCUCGAAGAGGUCGACCCAUUACAUUGAUGUCUUCAGUCCUCUCCUCCAGGUCAUCAUGAUGAAGUUUGUCGUCCUUUCUUCGGGGUUCCAUCGUACUUACGAAAGGAUAAAGGGUGGGUAUUCCGAGAGAAUGGACCUCUGCAGGUUUGACUAUCUGGUCGAUAACAUCGGGGAGGGUGGCGGAAGUAACUCUCGAAUUGAAACUUAAGAAAAUAUCAAGAGCAGAGUAAGGAGGUAUCCUGGGAAGUUUCGAGCGGGCAGGCAAUCGUUCGAUGUCUGAUAUGUGGCGUGAAAGGGGUUCGAAGCCACGAGAAUAAGUAUUUGUCUGAUACCAGAUUGAAGGUGGCUCAUGAAUUACAUACGAGGCCACGCGCGAGGAACAACCUUGGGUACAGGGGGGUACAGGAGAGUCAGGUUUCGAUCCUGUGGAACUGUGGGUUAUGGGCCCACCAUGUGGAUUAAAAGUAGGAAGGNNNNNNNNNNUGUUUUCUUUUUAUUUAUUUUCUUUUCUGUUUUUAUUUAUUUAUAAACACUUAGGCAUUUUAUAAAAUUGUGAACCUUACACCAUAAUUAUCUUUGUAAUAUUUGGCAACCACCGAACAUUUUUGUUUUAAUUUUUGAAAACUUUUAUUGUUUUCUUUUAUUUAAAUUUUGAAUUUGUUUCGGUUCUGAACUAUCGAGAGUUUAUCACAGUAACCGUGGUGACGUGGCAUCAUUAGCGGGGAAUCACUGUAGCUUAAUUAUCCGGGCGUCACAAUUCUCCUCCACUACAAG
rnacentral:lncRNA from 1 species